UACGAAGGGGGCUAGCGUUGUUCGGAAUCACUGGGCGUAAAGGGCGCGUAGGCGGCCUGAUAAGUCGGGGGUGAAAGCCUGUGGCUCAACCACAGAAUUGCCUUCGAUACUGUUAGGCUUGAGACCGGAAGAGGUAAGUGGAACUGCGAGUGUAGAGGUGAAAUUCGUAGAUAUUCGCAAGAACACCAGUGGCGAAGGCGGCUUACUGGUCCGGUUCUGACGCUGAGGCGGCGAAAGCGUGGGGAGCAAACAGG
rnacentral:rRNA from 1 species